AACUCUGAACAUCAAGCCCAGCAAUAUGCAUUCCAAUAAACCCUCCAAGUAAUUCUGACGCAGCUAAAGUUUGAGAAACUUUGGCCUAGCCAAUCUAUGGUAGCUGAGUGUUUCUUCAAUAACUAAGUUGGAAGAAAUAGUGACCCAGUACUUGGUUAAAGGAAAUUGUAAUUUCUUUUCAAUAUGAACAUAUUCACUGUAAAAAUGUUUAGUCACAUUUCAAAACCCCGAAUAACUGCCCAAUGUUAAUGACCAAAGAGAGGAGAGUCUGA
rnacentral:lncRNA from 1 species